UACAGAGGGUGCAAGCGUUAAUCGGAAUUACUGGGCGUAAAGCGCGCGUAGGUGGUUAGAUAAGUUGGAUGUGAAAUCCCCGGGCUUAACCUGGGUCGGUCAUUCAAAACUGUCUAACUAGAGUAGAGUAGAGGGUAGUGGAAUUUCUAGUGUAGCGGUGAAAUGCGUAGAUAUUAGAAGGAACACCAGUGGCGAAGGCGACUGCCUGGACUCAUACUGACACUGAGGUGCGAAAGCGUGGGUAGCGAACAGG
rnacentral:rRNA from 1 species